rnacentral:rRNA from 1 species
CACGUAGGGUGCGAGCGUUGUCCGGAUUUAUUGGGCGUAAAGAGCUCGUAGGCGGUUCCGUAAGUCAGAUGUGAAAACUCAGGGCUCAACCCGGAGACGCCAUCUGAUACUGCGGUGACUUGAGUCUGGUAGGGGAACACGGAAUUCCUGGUGUAGCGGUGAAAUGCGCAGAUAUCAGGAGGAACACCGAUGGCGAAGGCAGUGUUCUGGGCCAGUACUGACGCUGAGGAGCGAAAGCGUGGGGAGCGAACAGG